rnacentral:rRNA from 1 species
AGAGGGUGCAAGCGUUGUCCGGAAUUACUGGGCGUAAAGGGCGCGUAGGCGGCCCGGUAAGUAGGGGGUGAAAUUCUGCGGCUUAACCGCAGGACUGCCUUCUAGACUGCUAGGCUUGAGCACGGUAGAGGCUGGUGGAAUUCCCGGUGUAGCGGUGGAAUGCGUAGAGAUCGGGAAGAACAUCGGUGGCGAAGGCGGCCAGCUGGGCCGUUGCUGACGCUGAGGCGCGACAGCGUGGGGAGCAAACAGGAUUAGAUACCCUGGUAGUCCACGCCCUAAACGAUGUCAACUGGGUGUUGGGGAAGCGAUUCCUUGGUACCGUAGCUAACGCGUGAAGUUGACCGCCUGGGGAGUACGGCCGCAAGGUUA